CGUCUUGUGACGCCUGUAAAAGUUGAUUUUUUUAUUUUUAUUUUGAGGCGUUGCCUUAAGGGAAAGUUUCUCUGUGCUUUCGGUUUCCUUCUUACGCUGCAGCCAUGGAUAUGGAACGUGUCAGACAAGAACAAUUUCUGAAAAUUCAACAAGAUUUCAAAACAAAUGCCUUCAAGAUCAUCAAGGAGAUGGUUGAUUGGUGCAAUAAGACUAUCGGAAGUAAACACCUGGUGGACGAGAUACUUCAGAGCAUCUUCUUUCUGGGAAAAAUCAACAAAGUGCCCUUCUCUCCGGAGGAAAUUAUCCCUGAGAAGGAGCUGCUCAGU